CCAAAGGCUCUUUUCAGAGCCACCCACAACCGCACUUGGAAGAGG
rfam:Sus scrofa isolate TJ Tabasco breed Duroc chromosome 4, whole genome shotgun sequence.